rnacentral:misc_RNA from 1 species
ACAGAACAGUGUCAGUAGGAGAUAAUAGAACCAUCCAUCAUGUUCCUCACAUAUUCUAGGUUCAAACGGAAAGGAGGGUGCGAAGGGAUGUCAGGGAUGUCGGGGGUCCGGGCCGGGGCCGAGGCGGCGUUCCAGAGCGCCCACCUGGACGAACAAACCGCCCACGAAGAUUGCCCAGAGGAUGUAAAAGGGGCGUUCCUAUUCAAGCUAAAGUCCGGAGUAUCGGCAGUGAGCGGAAACGCAAAUCGUGUUUUUCGACGGGAAGGAGCGUACAAUCGGUACGAUUUCAAGGAUGCUAACGAGGGGAUCGAUAAAACGGUGAACGGCGGGGAUUACUGUGAAACGGAUCUGUCUAUGCCGGAGGAGUACCCGGAGCUGGAACGUCCUCCGCUCCGUAAGAUCGACAAAUACUGUCAACCAGAGUGUCCAUGUUGUAAUGUGUCCAAACGUUAUACACAGGCUAUCCUUGUUAUGGUUGGGUUCAUUAUUUCAUUUGGAAUCCGUUGCAACGUUGGUGUGGCGCAGGUCAGGAUGAUGUCCAACACGACCAACGAGAAGGGAGAGGUUACGGAGAUCAGUGAGUUCCACUGGAGCCCUGAGACUAUUGGAUACGUGGACGCGUCCUUCUUCUGGGGAUACAUCAUCACCCAGCUUCCCGGGGGGUUCCUGGCCUCAAGGUUUCCGGCAAACAGACUUUUUGGAACUGCCAUUUUCCUCUCAUCUUGUCUCAACCUUCUCAUUCCGGCUGCAACCAUGUUGGAUCCUAAAGCUCUAAUCUUGGUGCGAGUUCUCCAGGGUCUGGUUGAGGGAGUAACUUAUCCAGCUUGUCAUGGUAUCUGGAGAUGGUGGGCUCCUCCUCUUGAGAGAUCAAGGCUGGCAACCCUGGCCUUCUGUGGAUCCUAUGGAGGAGCUGUGCUCGGGAUGCCAAUCAGUGGGUAUCUGGUUCAGUGGAUAGCCUGGUGGGCUCCCUUCUACUUCUACGGAGCUGCUGGUAUCAUCUGGUAUAUGUUCUGGCUCUGGUUGUCCUUUGAGAAGCCUGCAACCCAUCCUUCAAUCUCUCCUAGAGAACAACUCUAUAUAGAGAAAUCUCUAGGAGACUCGAAGGCGAAACAACCAACUAUCAGGGAUACUCCUUGGGCAAAGGUUUUCACGUGUAUGCCGGUAUGGGCGAUCAUUGUCGCUAACUUCGCUCGAUCCUGGACCUUCUAUCUUCUUCUAAUCACCCAACCCAAGUAUUUUAAAGAAGUAUUUGGGAUGGAGGUUGCUGAAGGAGCAACCCUGGCCGCUCUACCCCAUCUGAUCAUGACGAUCAUAGUUCCCCUGGGGGGUCAACUGGCGGACUACCUGAGGCGAAGUGAGAUCCUGAGCACCACCAACGUUAGAAAGCUCUUCAACUGCGGAGGGUUCGGAGGAGAGGCUCUGUUUCUCAUCGUGGUCGCCUGUACCAGGGAUAAACUGGUUGCAGUUAUUGCUCUGAUUAUAGCUGUAGGCUGCAGCGGGUUCGCUAUCUCCGGGUUCAACGUGAACCAUCUGGAUAUAGCUCCCAGAUACGCUUCAAUCCUCAUGGGUAUCAGCAACGGAGUCGGGACAUUUUCAGGUAUGAUUUGCCCCAUCACAGUUGAGCAAUUGACAAAGAAAGGAGGAACCCUGGAAGAAAUCGAAGCAGAAUGGCAAACAGUUUUCCUCAUUGCUAGCGCCAUUCAUAUCUUUGGCGUCAUUUUCUACGCUAUAUUCGCGAGCGGAGAGGUUCAGGAUUGGGCAAAAGCGAAACCUAUGGAUGAAAACUUUGAGAUGGAUUUGGAGAAGCCUAAUACUGGACACGGAGCCAAUAUCAACGUGGAUACCAGCUUCCAGCAGCAGGGGGAGAUGGAGAGUGAGCUUCACGAACCAACACCUGCUGCUUCAUCUGCUAAUCCUUUCACUCAACCCCAGACUAGUAAUCCAUUCAGACAGUGAAUUGGAUCUGUUUAAACCGGAGCUAAUCAGACCAACCAGGUAUCCGAAGCUAAUCAAACCAACCAGGUAUCCGGAGCUAAUCAAACCAACCAGGUAUCCGGAGCUAAUCAAACCAACCAGGUAUCCGGAGCUAAUCAAACCAAUCAAAGGUAGCCGGAGCUAAUCAAACCAACCAGGUAUACGGAGCUAAUCAAACCAACCAGGUAUCCGGAGCUUACCAGACCAAAAAUCGGAGCUAACUAACAAAAGAAUCCGGAGCGAAUCAAACCAACCCGGUUCCCGGAGCUAUCAAACCAAUGAGAAACCCGGAGAACCUAGACCUAGUCCCGCGACAGAGGAAUUUGAAAAUACUCCCCGUCGUCUUAAUCCUAUUAGGAUCCCACUCCGGGACCUAAUUGAUCUUAUUACAAGCUCUGAUCUCAAAUUAGAAACUCAAUGGAUCUCUUCUAAAAGAAACCUAUCAAUGGAAUUUAGUUCCCAAACCGUUAUAUGUACUUUUACUCUUUAGAUAUUACGUAUCUAAAGAUACAAAAUCUACAUCUUGUUAAAAACUUAAAGAAAAUCUUAAACAAAAUUUACAAAAUUUAUAACCUGACCCAAAAUAUCGAAAAUUUUGCUUAAAAAUUUAUAGUUCUUUGUACAUCAGAAAAAUAUUCGAUUCUUAUUUGAAAUAACCAUCAAUUGAAACAGGAAUAAUUCUGAAAAUAAUUAUCAAUGAAAACAGGAAUAAUUCUGAAAAUAAUCAUCAAUGGAAACAGGAAUAAUUCUGAAAUAAUCAUCAAUGGAAACAGGAAUAAUUCUGAAAAUAAUCAUCAAUGGAAACAGGAAUAAUUCUGAAAAUAAUCAUCAAUGGAAACAGGAAUAAUUCUGAAAAUAAUAAUCAAUGGAAAUGAUAAAAUGAUUCUGUAAAUAAAACCAAUGCCAAUGGAACAAAUUAAAUAAAAACUAAUACAAAAAAAAUGACAACCUCAAUGGUAAUAUGGUUGAAAGUGAGUCAGGACUUCAAUUGAGCCGAACAUCAAUAUCUUCUUAAAAGAAUAUCUUGAAAUUGGUCAGGUUGUAAAGUUCUAGGUUCAUUGGCUUCUCUUUAUUUACCCGGUAAUAGCAGUGUUAAAAUUAUAUGUAAGAUGGUUGUGAUUGGAAUAAUUUUCUUCAUCUUCAAGUUUUAUCUUUGUUCACAUUUGAAUUUGUAAAUAUGUUAGCAGCGCAUAGAAUUGACAUCAAUGGAUAAAUAUUUCUUCCCGAGUUAACGGAACCCGGACCUAGUUUCCGGAUCCAUUUUUUUAUGGGUUGGCGGGACCACAUUCCUCUGGGUUAAGUUAACACUAGGAGCUGAGUAUAUUUGUUGUGAUGGAUAAACUAUAUAGAUGUCCUCAAGGUUUUCAUAGGCUUAAGGGUUGAACUGAGAAGAAGGAUCUGAACCGAACCUUCUCCGAGGUUUAGAAAGGAGAACUGAUCUCCUUGUAACCAGUAUUUAGCAUUCUGUUCAAUUCCUGUCAUUUAUAUUGAACUGCUUGCCUAGUACUGGUCCAGGGUCUUCUAUACUUUAUUAUUUAAUUGUUUAUAGUUUAAUUAUAUAUCAUAUCAGGUAUCGGAGACCCUGUUUUCUUAAACAUGUCCGAGGCAAUUUAUUAACUUGUUGAGCGAUUGUAAAACCCGUUGUAUUUAAAUGUUAGUUCGAAAACGAACCUUGUCAAGGCUUUCAUAGAUAGUACAUGUACAGAGGAACCCUGGAUUAGUCUUGAGGUUUCCUUUAUUAUGUACUUGCCCCAACAUCAAUGGAAUUAUUAUAAGAAAUCUUGUUUUUUUUCCAAAUCUCGAUGAUUAAAAUAAAUUUUAAAGUUGU